rnacentral:misc_RNA from 1 species
CGAGAUUACAGUCUGCUGUGCGAGGGCCUAAUAUCAAAAUCGAAGUUCUGGAAAAAUUCAGCGGAGCAUGGCUUGCACUGGAGUGCUGGCCUUUGUCUCAUCACCUUCCAAGGUAUGCAAAACCACCAACUCUCUUCCUUGCUCUCUACAUCACUCUCCUUCUACUACUUCUACUGCUUCAAUGAAUGAACAGCAACUAGAUAACUCUGAAAGCAGUAGUAUUACACCACAGAAAUUUAGCUAUAGCAGAGCUUCACCAUCGGUCAGAUGGCCCCAUCUUAAGCUUUCUGAGACUUACCCUUCUCCCCAUACCCGGUUUAAUGUUGCUUCCCCGCCGCCUGCCCAUUUUGUUGAUGAAAUGCCCGAAUCGGAGGGCGAAGAUGGGACCCGGAAUGUGGGUUCUGCAGAGUCUUUGGAAGUGGAUGAUGAGACCCAGGAAAGAUUGGGGAGGAAGAGUAGAACUAGGGUUAAGAAAAUGAACAAAUUGGCCCUCAAGAGGGCCAAGGAUUGGAGGGAAAGGGUGAAAUUUUUUACUGAUAGGAUAUUAGAAUUGAAGCCGGAUCAGUUUGUGGCUGAUGUGUUGGAUGAUCGGAAGGUGCAGAUGACACCUACUGAUUUUUGCUUUGUUGUGAAGUGGGUAGGCCAGGAGAACUGGCACCGGGCAUUGGAGGUGUAUGAGUGGUUGAAUUUGCGUCACUGGUAUUCCCCUAAUGCCCGGAUGCUUGCCACUAUUUUGGCCGUGUUGGGAAAGGCCUAUCAAGAGGCCUUGGCUGUGGAAAUAUUUACUAGAGCAGAGCCCUCUGUUGGUAAUACUGUGCAAGUCUAUAACGCCAUGAUGGGUGUGUAUGCAAGGACUGGUAGGUUCAAUAAGGUUCAAGAACUGCUUGAUCUGAUGCGUGAGAGAGGAUGUGAACCAGACCUUGUUAGUUUCAAUACUUUGAUAAAUGCUCGAUUGAAGGCAGGUGCAAUGAUGCCAAAUGUGGCCAUGGAGCUUUUAAAUGAGGUGAGGAGGUCAGGGCUUAGGCCAGAUACAAUCACUUACAAUACUCUUAUUAGCGCUUGUUCACGUGAAUCAAAUUUGAAGGAGGCCAUGAAGGUUUUUGAUUAUAUGGAGGCACAUCGUUGUCAACCUGAUCUAUGGACGUACAAUGCUAUGAUUUCGGUAUAUGGAAGAUGUGGGUUGUCUGGCAAAGCAGAACAGCUUUUUAAGGAAUUGGAGGUGAAAGGGUUUUUCCCAGAUGCAGUGACAUAUAACUCUUUGUUGUAUGCUUAUGCAAGAGAAGGGAAUGUGAAUAAGGUAAAAGAGGUUUGUGAGGAAAUGGUGAAUACAGGGUUUAGUAAAGAUGAGAUGACAUAUAAUACUAUUAUCCACAUGUAUGGAAGGCAAGGUCAGCAUGAUCUAGCAUUAAAGCUUUAUAGGGACAUGAAGUUUUCAGGUCGAACUCCUGAUGCAGUUACAUAUACUGUCUUGAUUGAUUCACUUGGGAAGGCAAAUAAGAUGGCAGAGGCUGCUAGUGUGACGUCAGAGAUGUUGGACACAGGAGUUAAACCUACUUUAAGGACUUAUAGUGCUUUGAUUUGUGGGUAUGCCAAGGCUGGGAAACGAGUGGAGGCUGAAGAGACAUUUGAUUGCAUGCUAAGAUGUGGAAUUAGACCCGAUCAACUAGCAUACUCAGUUAUGUUGGAUAUCUUCUUGAGGUUUAAUGAGCAAAAGAAGGCAAUGAUGUUGUACAAGGAAAUGGUUCGCGAUGGUAUCCCUCCAGAUCCUACUGUUUAUGGGGUAAUGCUUCGAAAUCUUGGAAGAGAAAGUAAAGUGGAGGAUAUUGAAAGAGUAAUUAGAGAUAUGGAAGAACUAUGUGGUAUGAAUCCACAAUCUAUUGCUUCUAUUCUUGUCAAGGGUGAAUGCUAUGAUGCUGCCUCAAAAAUGCUGAGGCUGGCCAUCAGUGGGUGCUGUGAAAUUGACCAUGAGAGUUUACUGUCCAUUUUGAGUUCAUAUAGUUCAUCUGGGAGACACUCUGAAGCACUUGACUUGCUUAAAUUCUUAAAAGAACAUGCUCCUAGAUCCAGCCAACUUGUAACUGAAGCUUCAAUUGUUACACUUUGCAAGGCUAAGCAGUUAGAUGCUGCUUUAAAGGAAUAUAACAGCAUGAGGGAAUUUGGCUGGUUUUGUGGGAGUUGUACCAUGUAUGAGUCCUUGAUUCAGUCCUGUGAAGAAAAUGAACUCACUGCUGAAGCUUCUCAAAUUUUUUCUGACAUGAGAUUCAGUGGUGUCAAACCUUCUGAAUCUCUCUACCAAAGUAUGGUGCUCUUGUAUUGUAAAAUGGGUUUCCCUGAAACAGCUCAUCAUAUGAUUGACUUGGCAGAAUUGGAAGGCAUGCCGUUUGAUAAUAUCUCUAUUGAUGUUGCUGUCAUUGAGACAUAUGGAAAAUUGAAGUUGUGGCAGAAAGCAGAAAGCCUGGUGGGGAAUCUUAGACAAAGAUGUGUGACUGUGGAUCGGAAAGUCUGGAAUGCUUUAAUACAAGCUUAUGCAGCAAGUGGCUGUUAUGAGCGAGGCAGGGCUGUUUUUAAUACAAUGAUGAGAGAUGGUCCUUCCCCAACUGUAGAUUCCAUUAAUGGUCUUUUGCAAGCUUUGAUUGUUGAUGGAAGAUUGGAAGAGCUUUAUGUGGUAAUCCAGGAGUUGCAAGAUAUUGGUUUUAAAAUCAGCAAAAGUUCUAUUUUUUUGAUGCUUGAUGCAUUUGCAAGGGCAGGAAAUAUAUUUGAAGUGAAAAAAAUAUACCAUGGAAUGAAGGCCGCAGGUUAUUUCCCCACCAUGCAUCUUUACAGAAUAAUGAUUGGGUUGUUAUGCAGGGGAAGACGGGUAAGAGAUGCUGAAGCCAUGGUUUCUGAGAUGGAAGAAGCAGGAUUCAGGCCUGAUCUUUCAAUAUGGAAUUCCAUGCUCAGGUUAUACACUGGAAUUGAUGAUUUUAGGAAGACAACUCAAAUUUACCAGCGGAUUAAACAAGAUGGACUUGAACCAGAUGAGGACACUUACAAAACAUUGAUUGUAAUGUAUUGCAGAGACCAUAGACCAGAGGAAGGGCUUUCACUGAUGCACGAAAUGAGAAGGGUUGGAUUGGAGCCCAAAUUGGAUACUUACAAAAGUUUGAUUGCAGCAUUUGGUAAGCAGCAAUUGGUGGUGCAAGCAGAGGAACUUUUUGAAGAGUUACUAUCAAAAGGAUAUAAAUUGGAUCGCUCUUUUUAUCAUAUUAUGAUGAAAAUAUUUAGAAAUUCUGGAAAUCACUCCAAAGCUGAAAAGCUGUUGAGCAUGAUGAAGGAUGCAGGAGUAGAACCCACUAUUGCCACAAUGCACUUACUCAUGGUGUCCUAUGGCAGCUCUGGACGGCCCCAGGAAGCUGAAAAAGUGCUCACUAAUUUGAAAGGAUCAGGUUUAAAUCUCAGUACACUGCCAUAUAGUUCUGUUAUUGACGCUUAUCUUAGAAAUAGGGAUUACAAUGUUGGAAUUCAGAAACUCAUGGAGAUGAAGAAAGAUGGUCUGGAGUCAGAUCACAGAAUAUGGACAUGCUUUAUUAGAGCUGCUAGUUUGUCCCAGCACAGACGUGAAGCCAUUAUCCUUUUAAAUGCUUUGCGAGAUUCUGGCUUUAAUCUCCCAAUCAGGCUUCUAACACAAAGAUCUGAGUUGCUAGUUUCAGAGGUGGAUCAAUGUCUCGAGAUGCUUGAAAACAUGGAAGACAAUGCAGCCUUCAACUUUGUUAAUGCCUUGGAGGAUUUGUUGUGGGCAUUUGAACUUCGAGCCACUGCUUCAUGGGUUUUUCAAUUGGCAGUCAAGAGGAGCAUCUAUGGCCAUGAUGUGUUCAGGGUGGCUGACCAAGAUUGGGGGGCUGAUUUUAGAAAGUUGUCAGGUGGUGCAGCUCUUGUUGGUCUUACUUUAUGGCUUGACCACAUGCAGGCAAGUUCUCUUAUGCACUUAUAAACUUUUUUGCACAAGUCAUAUUAUUCAUUCAUGUUACUUCUGUUAGGGGCAGUGGAGCACUGAGCUGAUUUCUGAUAGUAAAUGUCAUUACUAUUGCCACUAUUGUUGGUGGUUGUUCUAUGAUAUACAGCCAACUUACCAAUACUUGAGACUCUUGAUAUUUUGUGUAUCUUGAAGUUAUAGACCAUCAUCCUUAUCUGGUUAGUGAAUCGUAGUUCUUUCAACUUUCAUAAAUCUUGAUAAUGCUGAAAAUGCUCCAAAUUUUUUGGCUUUGACCAUUGUAGUGGCCCUAGAGUAUAGACCUCUUUCAUAUCAUGAAAAUUGGGAUAAUUACUGGAAUCCCUCCUAAGAUUUAGUGCUAUCAACAGUUCAAAACUCAAGUCCUUGUUCAAAAAAUAUGCAUUUUGGUCUCUCAGUGGACAUUCUUUUAACAGACUGUUGGGAGUAUAUGACAUGUAUAGAAAAGUUGUUCUUAAUUUUGGAUUAAAUCCUUGUCAACUACUCUUUUCCCCACUUCUCUGUUUCUCUCUCUCCUCCUUGGUCCUGUCAUCCAGUUUCCAUAAAAUCUAAGAGAAUAGAAAUCAAUCUAUUCAAUUUUUUUUUUCAUUGUUGAGAGCAAAUCAAAAUGAAGCUAAAGGAAUACAAAUGUACCUUCUGACACUAGUAACCGUUCUUUCAAACCAUUUUCUUUGGAAGCUAAAAUAGAAUACAAAUCAAAGAUGAAGGGCACCCCUAUCAUGCAUUUGAAGAAUCCAAAAAAGCCAAGCAACUUUUUUUUUUUUGAGGAGAACUGGAAAAGGCCAGUAAUUGUGGAAGUAUCAAAGAAUGGGCUAGCUCUCUGAAGCUCAAAUUUCCAACUCAAUCUGAUCUUCAAUUAAUACCUCAUAUCUGUUUGUGUAUGUGCAUGCAAGCAUUCCCAAGAGUUUAUGUCCGUGCAUGUGCGUGUGCAUGUAUGCUAUUUACAUAAGUUUCUCAUUUCACAUAUAAAUGAUUUCACUGUGAAUGCAUGACGUUACUAUUCUUUGGGAAAAUGAUAAUGAGAGCUUUUAGCACAAAUCAUUUUUGUGCAUCUAUUAUGGUAGGAUGCUUCUUUACGAGGUUAUCCAGCAUCUCCUAAGUCAGUUGUGCUGAUAACUGGGACUGCUGAAUACAACAUGGUUUCACUUAAUAACACAUUGAAGGCAUGCCUUUGGGAGAUGGGAUCUCCAUUUCUUCCCUGCAAAACACGAAGUGGACUCCUUGUAGCUAAGGCACACUCCCUCAGAAUGUGGUUGAAGGACUCGCCUUUCUGCUUGGACCUUGAGUUGAAAGAUGCUCCAUCUCUCCCUGAAUCAAACUCGAUGCAGCUUAUUGAGGGAUGUUUCAUAAGGCGUGGCCUUGUUCCUGCCUUUAAGGAGAUAACUGAGAAACUUGGAUUGGUGAGGCCAAAAAAAAUUUGCAAAAUUGGCUUUACUAUCAGAUGACAAAAGAGAAAAGGCAAUUCAAGCUGACAUAGAGGGUCGGAAAGAAAAGUUGGAAAAGCUUAAGAGUAAGGUUGAGCUUAGUAGGAAAAAUAAGAUAAAGAAGCUAAGAAAGAGAAAAUCUAUUCAGCGAGUCAUGCUGUCAAAGCCUGAGUAGAUUAAAUUAGAUUAUCAAACUGUGGAAUAGAAAUGCCCUGUUUGGAAGACUACAUGAUUAUGUUGAAAUUUAUCUAGCUAUGUGAUUUAGCAAUUUCCUAUGCCUUGUGGUCAACCAUGGAGUAUUGCAGUUGCUGAAGUGAAUGAGCAAGAAAAUUUCCCCUUUCUGACUACAAAUAGUUAAAGUGAUAAGAGAACCUCAUAAUUCUGGCUUGUCACAGAUGCUAUAUCAUUCCAUGCAGCUAAUCACAGACUAAUUGCACUUCAUGUAAGAAUCUCUUUACUAUUUUCUUGCAGCGUGGCGUUGUAUUAUUUUGAGCAUUUGCAAUUUAUAUAUUCCUUGUUUAUCCUCACCUUCUCCUUAAUUGCAUGCAGUUAAGCUUCUGGAAAAUGGGGGAAAUAAAAUGAUGCUUUAUUUUUUAUGAAGCAAAUCAUCAUUGCUGGAAGCAUAGAAAAUAGAAUUUUAACUAACAGAGAGAUAAAACUCGUCAAGGCUUCAAUCAUCAUUCUUUUUUGUCACUCCUUAACUGGAAACCAUGGUAAUUUGUGGUUAACUCUGAUCAUGUUCUUCUGGUAUCCAGCAGCGCACAGAACAUUCUGCCAUGAUGGUUCGCACAGCGCAAGCUAUAACUGUAGUUUGCAUCCUACAUUUUAUGGAGAAGUGGCGUCCUUCAAGAAUUCUUUUCUGAUUGAACUGAAUUAUGUUGACAGCUCUGAUCUAGCCCAGAACUCUGCAAUAGGCAUAAUGACUGGAGACAACAAUGUUGUGAUAGAAAUUCACUCUUCCCCUUGAAAAAGAGUCUGGCUGGUUAUCUUCCAAAUCAACCAUACCAGAAAACAUCUAUUUGAAUAGCUGAUUUUAUCUGUAAUUACUACGGAUCAACAAUGCAUUAAAAUUUGUUGUCAAGAAUCAUUGUUUUCUUGAUAAAUGUGUACAAAGUUUCAGCUAGUUUUGUUAUGGAAGGAUAAUAAUCGACUGUUUCUAAAGCUGGCCAAGUUCUUACAUAACUAAAAUAUUUUCUUGGCAAUGUCUAUUGUGGACUUGUUAGAACCAAUACUUCAAUUAAGUGAAUGAAAUCAUGACUAGACAAAAGUUCAAUUACCUGAAAUUAGAAUCCUUGUGCUUUAGGGUUAAUGGGA